rnacentral:rRNA from 1 species
GUUACAGCAGCCGCGGUAAUACGUAGGGACCGAGCGUUGUCCGGAUUCAUUGGGCGUAAAGAGCUCGUAGGCGGCUGCUCAAGUCGAAUGUGAAAACUCGAGGCUCAACCUCGAGCCUGCAUUCGAUACUGGGCGGCUAGAGUCUGGUAGGGGGAUCUGGAAUUCCUGGUGUAGCGGUGGAAUGCGCAGAUAUCAGGAGGAACACCGGUGGCGAAGGCGGGAUCCUGGGCCAGUACUGACGCUGAGGAGCGAAAGCGUGGGGAGCAAACAGGAUUAGAAACCCGGGUAGUCC